CCAAUAGCGUAUAUUAAAGUUGUUGCAGUUAAAAAGCUCGUAGUUGAAUUUCGGGGUUCUACCGUUGGUCAGGCUAUUGUCUGUACUGGUGUGUAGAAUUUCUACCUUCUGGGGAACUAUCAUGUUAUUAAUUUAGCGUGGUAGGAAACCAGGACCUUUACCUUGAAAAAAUUAGAGUGUUCAAAGCAGGCUUAUGUCUGAAUACAUUAGCAUGGAAUAAUAAAGUAGGACGGUGGUCCUGUUUUGUUGGUUUCUGAAUCACCGUAAUGAUUAAUAGGGAUAGUUGGGGGCAUUAGUAUUCAAUUGUCAGAGGUGAAAUUCUUGGAUUUAUUGAAGACUAACUACUGCGAAAGCAUUUGCCAAGGAUGUUUUCAUUAAUCAAGAACGAAAGUUAGGGGAUCGAAGACGAUCAGAUACCGUCGUAGUCUUAACCAUAAACUAUGCCGACUAGGGAUCGGACGAUGUUAACUUUUCUUGACUCGUUCGGCGCCUUACG
rnacentral:rRNA from 1 species